UUGAACGCUGGCGGCAUGCUUUACACAUGCAAGUCGAACGGUAACAGGGAGCUUGCUCCGCUGACGAGUGGCGAACGGGUGAGUAAUGCAUCGGAACGUACCCAGUCGUGGGGGAUAACGUAGCGAAAGUUACGCUAAUACCGCAUACGUCCUGAGGGAGAAAGCGGGGGACCGUAAGGCCUCGCGCGAUUGGAGCGGCCGAUGUCGGAUUAGCUAGUUGGUGGGGUAAAGGCCUACCAAGGCGACGAUCCGUAGCGGGUCUGAGAGGAUGAUCCGCCACACUGGGACUGAGACACGGCCCAGACUCCUACGGGAGGCAGCAGUGGGGAAUUUUGGACAAUGGGGGCAACCCUGAUCCAGCCAUGCCGCGUGAGUGAAGAAGGCCUUCGGGUUGUAAAGCUCUUUCAGACGGAAAGAAAACGCAUCGGUGAAUACCCGGUGUGGAUGACGGUACCGUAAGAAGAAGCACCGGCUAACUACGU
rnacentral:rRNA from 1 species